CACGUAGGGCGCAAGCGUUGUCCGGAAUUACUGGGCGUAAAGCGCACGUAGGCGGAUUUGUUAGUCAGGGGUGAAAUCCCGAGGCUCAACCUCGGAACUGCCUUUGAUACUGCAAAUCUCGAGUCCGGAAGAGGUGAGUGGAAUUCCUAGUGUAGAGGUGAAAUUCGUAGAUAUUAGGAAGAACACCAGUGGCGAAGGCGGGUCUCUGGACAGUUCCUGACGCUGAGGCACGAAGGCCAGGGGAGCAAACGGG
rnacentral:rRNA from 1 species